UGAUCAUGGCUCAGGAUGAACGCUAGCUACAGGCUUAACACAUGCAAGUCGAGGGGCAGCAUCAUCAAAGCUUGCUUUGAUGGAUGGCGACCGGCGCACGGGUGAGUAACACGUAUCCAACCUGCCGACAACACUGGGAUAGCCUUUCGAAAGAAAGAUUAAUACCGGAUGGCAUAGUUUUUCCGCAUGGGAUAAUUAUUAAAGAAUUUCGGGUUGUCGAUGGGGAUGCGUUCCAUUAGG
rnacentral:rRNA from 1 species